rnacentral:rRNA from 1 species
UACGGAGGGUGCAAGCGUUAUCCGGAUUCACUGGGUUUAAAGGGUGCGUAGGUGGAUCGAUAAGUCAGUGGUGAAAGCCCCGAGCUCAACUUGGGAAUUGCCAUUGAUACUGUUGAUCUUGAGUGCGGUUGAGGUAGACGGAAUAUGUCAUGUAGCGGUGAAAUGCUUAGAUAUGACAUAGAACACCAAUUGCGAAGGCAGUUUACCAAGCCGAUACUGACACUGAGGCACGAAAGCGUGGGGAUCAAAC